AUUGUUUGGGAAAGUACUUCCUGUACAGACUGACUGAGGAGGAGCAGUAAGAGGAGUUGGUGUGUUUGUAGAAGCCAGUGUGCUCCAGAUUCCUUUGAACAGCAGUGAUCCUAGUGUGGUGUGCACUUCAUCACGAUGCCAGAAGGUUUGUGGUUCCAAUACAUGAAGAUAACUGCAGAAGGCAGAGACCUGUAAUGCUUUGUCUUUGGGCCUGUUAAUCCUGCAGAUGGAGAGCAUCAGGAUGUAUAAGAUUCUACACUGAUCUAGGAUAAAAGCACCCUCUCUUUUUAUUCUGA
rnacentral:lncRNA from 12 species